rnacentral:lncRNA from 1 species
UGAAUUAAAUUAACCUUCAGUGUAUUCUCAGCUUUAGCUUCCGUGAUAGCUCAGUUGUCACAAUAUAGAUUUAAAACCAUGUCUUAUUUUUUUCAAUAGCCAUUAUGUUAGAAGUUCAAGGUUAUGAUUUUAGUAUAUAAUGGUCCUUUGACAAAUCAUGCAAUGUAUUCGUAUUUAACGAUUCACGAUGUUCUACAAAUUGAUCUUCCUUUUCGCCUUGCUUGCUGUGGCGUUCGCUGCCCCGCACCCUGACCCCAAGCCUCAGUACUUGACUUACUCUCCAGCCCUCAACUACCUGUACCCAGCGUCUGCCGUACCCUCGGUCUCUGCUUACUCAGCUCCGGUGCUUACUCCGUAUACGUACUCUGCUUACCCUAAUCCUGUGUUUGUGCGUUAGAAUGUUACGAUGAUUGUAAAACUGUAGCAUGAUUAAAUAUUAUCCGGCCGCCUUUUUAUAUUAAACGAUGUUAUAAU